AGAACAUGAACCUACCAAAUAAAUCUUUAGAUUCUUGAGAUCCAAAAAAUCAAGAAAUUGUAGACAGUACAGUGGAAGAAUAAUAUUUUAAAAAAUCGGAGACAGUGGACAAUAUUAGAAUACAGGCUUCAGUUAAGGUUUACUUUCAUGUUUGGUACGUAUCUGGAGAAACAUUCCAUUUGAUCUAAUUUUAUUAUUACAUUUGCCACUGUUUUGUUACCUGAUUUUUUUUUCUUUGGCAGAAGAAAUUGUAGAUAGUAUGGAACUUUAAAUGUAUUAGCUCAAAAAUUUCAAAAUUACCCACUGUAGAUUAAACAGGUUAAAUAACCAAACUCUUUUAACAUAUAUGCAGUUAAAUACAGGAGAACGUUAAGGCCUUUGCAGAAAUAUCUGACAGCAUACAAAAUUUACAAGGUACAGUUUAACACCAAAUGUAAGACUUCUUUAAGUGAACGAUUCGUGUUUUUCAUCGAUUUUAAGCGGGAUAAAAAUGCAUGAAAAAGUUUAAUUUAUCCACUUUAUCUAUUUUCAUUUUUAUUGUUACCCCGCCUCAUGAAUAUUAAUGGUUAGCUAAUCCCCACUUAGAAUUACAUUUCAGAAUAGUGUGCGUAAAGUUUAAUAGGCAGACGGAGAGGAAACGUGAAAGGGAGUGAAGAAAAACUCGGCCCUUCCAAAAAAAAAGAAACGAAAUCAGCACAUAGAGAGGGUCUGAGCCUCGGAGAAUCAAAGAAACCACCUUUCAAUCCUCACUUUCCCAAAGAAAUGCCAAUAAAAUACGGUAACAGAAUAUCACGGAGGGCGCGGUGUUUCCUUAACUGUUUCUGAAAGGCUCAGAAGAUCUUAAUAAGGCUUCGCUCGGUCCUUUUGUUGAUCUCACAAAAUCAACUCAUUCUAAUUGAGGCCUGAGCUGAAAGCGACCUAAUGUUCAAAGCAAGUGACCGCCGGAGAAACGAAAUUACAUUUUUACUAUAUGGGGCAUCCAAUCAAAGGGCGGCUUUGCACGUUCCUCUAUAGAUCAACAAAGUCAUCUACAAAAGUACUCUUGGGAGUAACAGAGAUGCUGCUGGUUAACGUCAAUAGACGAAGGAAAACUAAAGAGAAAGUUAUUGGAUGCUGCAUGGAGGCUCUUAGAAGUAUGGCGACAGGGAAUGCGCAUAUCAAUGUUUAUACUGCUUGUUUAAAACACAACACUGACGUGAUUCCCUCAAAAAGGCAGGAUUCACCUGCCCCUAAACCACUUUAACGGACAAAAAUACUGAGAGUCGUUAACAAAAUGUGAUCCUUAAAUACACAACAAAAGACAUGUAUUAUUUCUGCAUUUCGUCCGUUUUUUUAGUUUGUUCUCUCGGCCCUGAUGUUGCUAAGACCCCGUGAUAAACUCAGAACAGGUAUCAAGUUAUCAGGUUGCUAGAAGCUUUUGUAAUAAGAGUAUUUUGUCUAAUCCCAAAUUGCAGUCGAAUUUUCUAAAUGCUGAGCUCGUAAAUCUCGGGAUUAGAGGAGGCGAGAAGAGGAGGGGGAAAAGUUUAGUUUCUUUAGCCGGCAGGAUGGGAGCGGGUCGGCGAUGUUGUCGGUCCUUAUUAAAACGAUGAUGCAUAAAAUACGAAUUUGAAGCUCGUGCAUAAGUCUCCGUACCGUUUUCCCCGGUGUACUUUAGGACGUGGGAAGGAUAUCCAGCGGUCGAGGGGCUUCGUGGAGUUCAACUGCUCAACACCUGAAGUCAGGCCGUAGACUUCAAAGCAGCUGGAUCCUCAGCACGCGCUCUGGGACUCAGGCAUCUCUGCUAUCGCUUUAAUACGCUGCUUCGUCGUGUUUAUAACUUUUUCGUGCUUGUGAAAACUUUUAAAGAAACUUUGUAUUUUUGAAAAUGAAUUUUCCACUAAACAAAUAGCCUACUAUUGGGUUCAGCCCGAAUACAAGUGUUGGCGAAAGGGCAACAAUCAGGGUUCUCUCCAGGUGCUCAUCUUCUUCUUCAGCUCUGUCGGCACACACAGGACAUACAGGAUCAAAGGUCAUGGACACAGAAGAAUGCCUCCACCACCUAUGACCGCUUUGAAUAUUAACAUCCCAUACACACAAAACACCUACAGUAAAUGCAAAGUGUGAUGUCUGACUGCAAGCUUUGGCCUCUAAAACCUUCUCUAAACUGCAUCAGAAUUCUCUGGAGCACUAAGCGCUCUCACAUCCCAAAAUGACUUGCAGCAGGUGGACUUACUCUUUCUCCUGGGCAUCCAAGUCUCUGACCAGAGCAUCACGUUUGUUGACCAGAAUGACCAACUCAUCCAGCAGGAGCUGCUCUCGGCGCUUUUGCGCCUCUGUUUUCUGCCAGUCUGGAAGAUGAAGAAAACGAGAAAGAACAUUUUAGAGACCGGAUAAGAAAGUUGACAGCUAAUCACCUUCCAUGGCACCUUCAACAAAAUCCAGUAAAGACGACUUACAGAAACAAGCAUAAUUUAAAUGGUUUCACGUGUGAAAGACAUCACUCUCAAACUAUCAAGACUAUGGUCUGUACUAUUUAGCUUAAUAUUGUUGAGUUAAUGUGAAGCUCUAAAAGGGCACCCACAGGUUCCCUGUAUAAUGGACGGCAGCCACACAGUGGAAUUCGGUCAGAACGGAUCUGAUAACACAAGUGAAUACAAGGACUGUGUUGAGUACACCACCUGCUUUUAAGCACCUUAAAACGUCAAGUCCCAAAGAGGCGUUAAUGCCUUUACACAGCUCAAAAUCUGCUCUAUAAAUAAAUUCUAUUGAUUUUUCACUCAACUUGGAAUUAAGUAUUAAACAUGAUCUUGUACAAUC